UGCCAGCAGCCGCGGUAAUACGUAGGUCCCGAGCGUUAUCCGGAAUUAUUGGGCGUAAAGGGCACGUAGGCGGACAAUAAGUUUGAUGUCAAAUAUGAUGGCUCAACCAUCAAGAGGCGUUGAAAACUGUUUAUCUAGAAUCUCGGAGAGGUAAGUGGAAUUCCAUGUGUAGCGGUGGAAUGCGUAGAUAUAUGGAGGAACACCAAUGGCGAAGGCAGCUUACUGGACGAAGAUUGACGCUGAGGUGCGAAAGCGUGGGUAGCAAACAGGAUUAGAUACCCUGGUAG
rnacentral:rRNA from 1 species